UCCUGUUAUUUGAGGGUAGAGGGUAGAGACGAUCCAGCAGUGGAACAUCUAUAGGCUAUUUAUGUUUUAUUGAACAUUAUAUUCUUUUCUUGUAGGUAAUAUGAACAUUGCCCACUUGCCUGCAGAAAAUUUGCGGUCAAGGUAUUUAUGCAUUGACCAUUUCAAUAUCAAGUAUGUACGAAAUGAGACUGGUCAUAGAAAAAGACUCCAGAGAAGUGCAGUUCCAGAACCAUAUCAGACUCAAGACCUUCAAAAUCGCUCAAGCACUUCCUCACCAGGUUCAUCAGGUACUUUUAAAGUACUGACACCGAAAAAGGUGUACAAAAAUAAACGGCUUCGCGACUGCGAACUUGAAGAGCUCGUGGAGCCGCCAGCAGUAGCAUACCAGUGUAACACGCCGAAGAGAAGACGGUUGUCAAUUACUGAAGACACGCCAAAAUGCAAAGUAUUAAAAAAGAAAUUAGUAUUGUAUCUAACAAAAACAAAAUGUAAUACCUUUUGAAUUAAAGAAGUAGUUUAAUUGAA